rnacentral:rRNA from 1 species
UACAGGGGGUGCAACCGUUGCUCGGAAUUAUUGGGCGUAAAGCGCGCGUAGGCGGCUACCUAAGUCGGAUGUGAAAGCCCCUGGCUUAACUGGGGAAGUGCACCCGAAACUGGGUAGCUAGAGUGCAAAAGAGGGUCGCGGAAUUCCCGGUGUAGAGGUGAAAUUCGUAGAUAUCGGGAGGAACACCGGUGGCGAAGGCGGCGACCUGGGUUGACACUGACGCUGAGACGCGAAAGCUAGGGGAGCGAACGGG